rnacentral:rRNA from 1 species
UACGGAGGGUGCAAGCGUUAUCCGGAUUUACUGGGUUUAAAGGGUGUGUAGGCGGGCUUUUAAGUCAGUGGUGAAAUCUCCGGGCUCAACCUGGAAACUGCCAUUGAUACUAUUAGUCUUGAAUUUUGUUGAGGUAGGCGGAAUAAGUCAUGUAGCGGUGAAAUGCAUAGAUAUGACACAGAACACCCAUUGCGAAGGCAGCUUACAAAACUACAACUGACACUGAGGCACGAAAGCGUGGGGAUCAAACAGG